UGCGAACGGGUGAGUAACGCGUACGUAACCUGCCUUGUAGCGGGGGAUAACUAUUGGAAACGAUAGCUAAUACCGCAUAACAAUGGAUGACCCAUGUCAUUUAUUUGAAAGGGGCAAAUGCUCCACUACAAGAUGGACCUGCGUUGUAUUAGCUAGUAGGUGAGGUAACGGCUCACCUAGGCGACGAUACAUAGCCGACCUGAGAGGGUGAUCGGCCACACUGGGACUGAGACACGGCCCAGACUCCUACGGGAGGCAGCAGUAGGGAAUCUUCGGCAAUGGGGGCAACCCUGACCGAGCAACGCCGCGUGAGUGAAGAAGGUUUUCGGAUCGUAAAGCUCUGUUGUAAGUCAAGAACGAGUGUGAGAGUGGAAAGUUCACACUGUGACGGUAGCUUACCAGAAAGGGACGGCUAACUACGUGCCAGCAGCCGCGGUAAUACGUAGGUCCCGAGCGUUGUCCGGAUUUAUUGGGCGUAAAGCGAGCGCAGGCGGUUUGAUAAGUCUGAAGUUAAAGGCUGUGGCUCAACCAUAGUUCGCUUUGGAAACUGUCAAACUUGAGUGCAGAAGGGGAGAGUGGAAUUCCAUGUGUAGCGGUGAAAUGCGUAGAUAUAUGGAGGAACACCGGUGGC
rnacentral:rRNA from 1 species